AAUGCCAAAGAUAGUGAACGUACUGUGGUCUGCUUAAUUUACAGGAUAACAAAAAGAUGAAGAAAUCUCUAGAGGAAGAACAGAGAGCCCGCAGAGACCUCGAGAAGCUGGUGAGGAAAGUCCUGAAGAACAUGAACGACCCUGCCUGGGACGAGACCAAUCUCUAAGGGACGUCCUUAGUUCUUUCUGUCGAUGACCAGUUCUGAGGUGAAGCGGGGCACCCCUGACCCACGUCGGGGUGCACUCAGGACCACAGGGCAGGGCUGGGUGGGGCACCACCUCGCUCUCUGUACAUAGAAAAGCUGGAGCUUAUUCUGCGAAUGGAGACGAUCAAACCAUGACUGAUGAAUCCAGACAGGAGGGAUUGACUCUGAGGACCUGAGCUGCAUCAGUCCCACUCUGUGAACAUCUCAGUUACCUCAUUCUGCAAUAAGUUCAGUGACUGACUAAAAGUCUUGUUUUUCCAGACUUUGAAUUGAAUAUAUAAAUAUUAUAUAUGCGUGUUGCUUGUAAAUAUCCCAUUUUGAAUGCAUACCCGUGGUGGUUCUGUCCGGGCUAAUCCCCAUGCUAGAAUGUCCUUUCCAGCUACGUGAGUAAGAAGUCCCAUGCCCGCACCCACCGGAAGCAGAAGCCCGGUGGAUGCCUGGUUCGUUCCGCAGCACCAGGGCCUCCACCGUGCUGUGACAGCACCCCCCGUGUCGGUGUUUCUGAAUAACCUUAUUUAUACCUGCAGAGAUACACGUCAGUCCCAUUCGGAAGUCUUCUCUGAAAGCAGCGUUCCAGUCCCAGACCUGUGGGGUUCCGAGGGCAGCUUGCUGGUUGACAGACUCAGUCUCGACCUCAAGGAAGGCCCAUACGGCACCGCUGCAUCCACCUAGAGGUCACUGCGGCUGACGAGAACAGAUGGAGGCCAUGCUCCAGACUGAUACUGAUGGGUGGAGCUUUGCCGUCAGGCCAGCCUCAUCCUGAGGUCUGCUCCACCACUGGCUGCAGCCAGCAGGCUUCAGUGCUCACCGAAAGUGAAAUCCCCUCCUUCAGCAAGCAUAAAGCAAUAUACACCCUAGGUUCCACUAAGCAACGUAGGCGUAAGCAGGGAGCGUUUCCCCCACUGUGUUCCAGUGCAGAGGAGACGGACGAAGCCUGUCCUCGCCGCGGCUUGCUGGGCCCAGGCUGGCUCUGGAAAGCCUGUGCAGUCCUGGGCGGGAAGCCCAGCCCGUGGGGCAGGUUUUCGUUCUGCUUCAGCAAUAAAUAAGGGUGACCGCAGGGACUUUGCUUUUGGUUUCCCUUCCCGUGAAGAGGUUGGUUUUAAAGUGAGAUACGCUUUUCCGUAGAACAAGUGUUCUAUCUUUAAACACCAAAAUUGCAACGCCAUGGAUUACUGAUCUCAGAACAGCUCAUUUUGCAUCAGAUUUGACUCUCUGCUUUUCCGUCUAUUGGCCAAAUUGCCCUUUAACUGCACCUGAAUCCUUUGUAUACUGAUGCCUUUGAGCUGGGCACCCUGGGAGAGUGUUCUGUCACUGUUUACGGUUCUUCCUUGCCCUUGCUGAUUACAGUCUCUGGUGCCCAGCAAGCCCCCUUCCUGCUUCCUUCCCUGACUCCGGUCACGGGGUCUGCCUGGGCUCAGCAUGGACCUGACCCAUGCUCGCAGAACCUGGCCUCACCUGGACUUCUCACUAGAAUUGCCAGCUUCCUCAACUUAGCAGAUUACUCACUCAUGCAGGCACAAGCAAAGAUCAACACUUUCUCUUUUGGUAAGCUUGAGUUUUACAAGUUAUUUUUUGGUGAUGCGUAAGACAUUGCAGUGGGAAACCAUUCAACUUGAGCGUACUGGAGUUUGCUGUCGUAGCAGGUUUUAACUCAGGAACAACUCUCCUCUGAUCUCUCCGCCCUCUGCCGGGAGGCGACGUUCGCCGUCCUCUCGGAGCCGGUAGCGUUGCUGUCCGAGUCCCCAGGACGGAUCUCCUGCAGACCUGCCUUAAUGCUCAGAUCGAAGUAUUUCACAAGAAUACUUGUGUUUUUAACAGCCCUUCCCCUAGACGGUGCGGCCGCGAGGGCCUCAUGUGACUGCAUUGCCUUUUCUUUCUGUGGAUCCAGUAUCUUCCUCGGCUUUUUAGGGAGCAGGAAAAACGUGUCUGAGAGCAAGUCUUUAAAAACCUGCCCUGUUGUAUAUAACUGUAUCUGUUUCACCGUGUGACCUCCCAAGGGGGUGGGAACUUGAUAUAAACAUUUAAAGGGGCCACGAUCUGCCCGAGGGUUACUCCUUUGCUCUCAGCUUGUAUGGAUGAGGAGAUUAAGCCAUUUCUUAUCCUGUAGAUGUGAAGCACUUUCAGUUUUCAGCAAUGUUGGAAUGUAGCAUCCGAAGCUCGUUCCUUCACAUUCGGUAGCGUCUGUGCUUGUCCACAUGCGCUGGGCGCCUGGGACCUUGAAUGCCUGCCCUGGUUGUGUGGACUCCUUAAUGCCAAUCAUUUCUUCACUUCUCUGGGGCCCCCAGGGCGCCCGUUGACAAGUGUGGAGAAACUCCUAAUUUAAAUGUCACAGACAAUGUCCUAGUGUUGACUACUACAAUGUUGAUGCUACACUGCUGUAAUUAUUAAACUGAUUAUUUUUCUUAUGUCACA